UUAAAUUGAAGAGUUUGAUCAUGGCUCAGAUUGAACGCUGGCGGCAGGCCUAACACAUGCAAGUCGAACGGUAACAGGAAGCAGCUUGCUGCUUCGCUGACGAGUGGCGGACGGGUGAGUAAUGUCUGGGAAACUGCCUGGUGGAGGGGGAUAACUACUGGAAACGGUGGCUAAUACCGCAUAACGUCGCAAGACCAAAGAGGGGGACCUUCGGGCCUCUUGCCAUCAGAUGUGCCCAGAUGGGAUUAGCUUGUUGGUGAGGUAACGGCUCACCAAGGCGACGAUCCCUAGCUGGUCUGAGAGGAUGACCAGCCACACUGGAACUGAGACACGGUCCAGACUCCUACGGGAGGCAGCAGUGGGGAAUAUUGCACAAUGGGCGCAAGCCUGAUGCAGCCAUGCCGCGUGUAUGAAGAAGGCCUUCGGGUUGUAAAGUACUUUCAGCGGGGAGGAAGGUGUUGUGGUUAAUAACCGCAGCAAUUGACGUUACCCGCAGAAGAAGCACCGGCUAACUCCGUGCCAGCAGCCGCGGUAAUACGGAGGGUGCAAGCGUUAAUCGGAAUUACUGGGCGUAAAGCGC
rnacentral:rRNA from 1 species